rnacentral:miRNA from 1 species
UGGCGCUAGAAGGAGGGCCU